rnacentral:rRNA from 1 species
UAGGGAAUCUUCCGCAAUGGGCGAAAGCCUGACGGAGCAACGCCGCGUGAGUGAUGAAGGUCUUCGGAUCGUAAAACUCUGUUAUUAGGGAAGAACAAAUGUGUAAGUAACUAUGCACGUCUUGACGGUACCUAAUCAGAAAGCCACGGCUAACUACGUGCCAGCAGCCGCGGUACUACGUAGGUGGCAAGCGUUAUCCGGAAUUAUUGGGCGUAAAGCGCGCGUAGGCGGUUUUUUAAGUCUGAUGUGAAAGCCCACGGCUCAACCGUGGAGGGUCAUUGGAAACUGGAAAACUUGAGUGCAGAAGAGGAAAGUGGAAUUCCAUGUGUAGCAGUGAAAUGCGCAGAGAUAUGGAGGAACACCAGUGGCGAAGGCGACUUUCUGGUCUGUAACUGACGCUGAUGUGCGAAAGCGUGGGGAUCAAACAGG